CCUACGGGAGGCAGCAGUAGGGAAUAUUGGGCAAUGGAGGCAACUCUGACCCAGCCAUGCCGCGUGCAGGAUGAAGGCGUUAUGCGUUGUAAACUGCUUUUAUAUAGGAAGAAAGAGUUCUUGCGAGAACAGUUGACGGUACUAUAUGAAUAAGCACCGGCUAACUCCGUGCCAGCAGCCGCGGUAAUACGGAGGGUGCAAGCGUUGUCCGGAUUUAUUGGGUUUAAAGGGUGCGUAGGCGGUUUAUUAAGUCAGUGGUGAAAGACGGUCGCUCAACGAUUGCAGUGCCAUUGAUACUGGUAGACUUGAGUGAGAUUGAGGUAGCUGGAAUGGAUAGUGUAGCGGUGAAAUGCAUAGAUAUUAUCCAGAACACCAAUUGCGUAGGCAAGUUACUAAGUCUUAACUGACGCUGAGGCACGAAAGUGUGGGUAUCAAACAGGAUUAGAUACCCUGGUAGUCCACACUGUAAACGAUGAUAACUAACUGUUGGCUUUCGGGUCAGUGGUACAGAGAAAUCGUUAAGUUAUCCACCUGGGGAGUACGCCGGCAACGGUGAAACUCAAAGUAGUAGUCGGCGNGAGAGAGACGACGACGACGACGACGGAGGGAGGAGG
rnacentral:rRNA from 1 species